GAUGAACGCUGGCGGCGUGCUUAACACAUGCAAGUCGAACGAUGAAGCCCAGCUUGCCGGGUGGAUUAGUGGCGAACGGGUGAGUAACACGUGAGUAACCUGCCCUUAACUCUGGGAUAAGCCUGGGAAACUGGGUCUAAUACCGGAUAGGAGCGUCCACCGCAUGGUGGGUGUUGGAAAGAUUUAUCGGUUUUGGAUGGACUCGCGGCCUAUCAGCUUGUUGGUGAGGUAAUGGCUCACCAAGGCGACGACGGGUAGCCGGCCUGAGAGGGUGACCGGCCACACUGGGACUGAGACCAGGCCCAGACUCCUACGGGAGGCAGCAGUGGGGAAUAUUGCACAAUGGGCGCAAGCCUGAUGCAGCGACGCCGCGUGAGGGAUGACGGCCUUCGGGUUGUAAACCUCUUUCAGUAGGGAAGAAGCGAAAGUGACGGUACCUGCAGAAGAAGCACCGGCUAACUACGUG
rnacentral:rRNA from 1 species